rnacentral:rRNA from 1 species
AGUAGUUGUAUCAGUGGCUACAGGACGAACGCUGGCGGCGUGCCUAACACAUGCAAGUCGAGCGAGGAGAUUCCUCGGGAUGAUCCUAGCGGCGGACGGGUGAGUAACACGUGGGCAACCUGCCUCAUAGAGAGGAAUAGCCUUCCGAAAGGGAGAUUAAUACCUCAUAACAUUGCAGUUUCGCAUGGAACAGCAAUUAAAGGAGCAAUCCACUAUGAGAUGGGCCCGCGGCGCAUUAGCUAGUUGGUGAGGUAACGGCUCACCAAGGCGACGAUGCGUAGCCGACCUGAGAGGGUGAUCGGCCACAUUGGGACUGAGACACGGCCCAGACUCCUACGGGAGGCAGCAGUGGGGAAUAUUGCACAAUGGGGGAAACCCUGAUGCCAGCAACGCCGCGUGAGUGAUGACGGCCUUCGGGUUGUAAAGCUCUGUCUUCAGGGACGAUAAUGACGGUACCUGAGGAGGAAGCCACGGCUAACUACGUGCCAGCCGCCGC